rnacentral:lncRNA from 10 species
GGCCACACUCAUCGUAGCAGAGAGGCAGGAACAGCUGGGCGAGGGUCCUUCUGUGACAUCUACUGCAUCACUGGGCUCUGUGAAGUGACUCAGCUGCCAGAACUCACACAAUAUUCUGCACCAAAACCUCACGGGAAAAAUGCAUCACGAACCUCAGACUUAAACAGCACAACAGGCUCCUCCCAGGUCUCCAGCUACACAACCCUCAGACUUAAACAACAGCAGCGGCACCAGCUCCUCCCUGGGUCUCCAGCUCCACAAACCUCAAAUUAGAACAGCAGCACUGGCUACACCCAGUCUCCAGCUCUACACCUCUAACUUGAACUACAGCCACCAGCUCCUUCCUGGGUCUCCGGCUCCACAGACCUUAAACGAAAACAGCAGCACUGGCUCCUCCCCAGGUCCCCAGCUACAGACCCUCAAACAAGAAGAACAGCAGCACCAGCUCCACCUAAAGUCUCCAGCUCCACACCUCAAACUAGAACUUCAGCACCCGCUCCUCCCCGAGUCUCAAUAUCUGUGACCCUCAAAAUAAAACAGCAGGACCAGCUCCUCCUCUGGUCUUCAGCUUCACGACCUUAACUGUAACAGCACCACCCGCUCCUCCGGGGUCAACAGCUCCGACGCUAAAACUAGAACAGCAGACCAGCUUCUACCUAAAACACCAGCUCCGAGACUCUCAAACAAGAACAGCAGCACUGACUUCUCUCACCAGGUCUCCAGCUCCACGAUCCUGAAACUUGAACGGCAGCACCCGCUCCUCCCCGGGUCUCCAGCUCCACGAACCUCAAACUUGAACAGCAGCACCCGCUCCUCCCAGCGUCUCCAGCUCCAUGAACCUCAAACUUGAACAGCAGUACCCGCUCCUCCCCGGGUCUCCAGCUCCACGAACCUCAAACUUGAACAGCAGCACUCGCUCCUCCCAAGGUCUCCAGCUCUGCGAACCUCAAACUUGAACUGCAGCACCUGCUCCUCCCCGGGUCUCCAGCUCCACGAACCUUAAACUAAAACAGCAGUACUCACUCCUCCCCAGAUCCCCAGCUGCAGACCCUCAAGCUGCAACAGCAGCACCAUCUCCUCUCCAGGUCUCCAGCUCCAUGGACCUUAAACUAGAACAGCAGCACCAGCUCCUCCUUGGGACAACAGCUCCAAGACCCUCAAACUACAACAGCAGCCCUGACUCCUGCCCAGGUUUACAGCUCCACAAACGUCAAACUUGAACUUCAGCACUAGCUGAAGUCUCCAGCUCCCUGACCCUCAAACUAGAACAGCAGCACCAUCUCCUCUCUGGGUCUCCAGCUCCACGAACCUCAAACUUGAACUGCAGCACCUGCUCCUCCCUGGAUCUCCAGCUCCACGGACCUUAAACUAAAACAGCAGUACUCGCUCCUCCCCAGGUCCCCAGCUGCAGACCCUCAAACUGCAACAGCAGCACCAUCUCCUCUCUGGGUCUCCAGCUCCAUGGACCUUAAACUAGAACAGCAGCACCAGCUCCUCUCCUGGUCUCCAGCUCCAGGACCCUAAAACUAGAACAGCAGCACCAGCUCCUCCUUGGGACAACAGCUUUAAGACCCUCAAACUACAACAGCAGCCCUGACUCCUGCCCAGGUUUACAAACCUCAAACUUGAACUUCAGCACUGGCUGAAGUCUCCAGCCCCAUGACCCUCAAACUAGAACAGCAGCACCAUCUCCUCUCUGGGUCUCCAGCUCCAUGGACCUUAAACUAAAACAGCAGCACCAGCUCCUCCCGAGGUCCCCAUCUACAGACCCUCAAACUACAGCAGCACCAGCUCCACCCAAAGUCUCCAGCUCCCCACCUCAAACUAGAACUCCAGCACCCGCUCCUCCCCGAGUCUCAAUAUCCGCCACUCUCAAACAGCAGCACCGGCUCCUCCCCUGGUCUUCAGCUUCACGACCCUAACUAUAACAGCACCACCCGCUCUUCCGGGGUCAACAGCUCCAAGACUCUAAAACUAGAACAGCAGACCAGCUUCUACCCAGGUCACCAGCUCCGAGACUCUCAAACUAGAACAGCAGCCUUAACUUCUCGCCAAAUCUCCAACUCCACGACCCUUAAACUUGAACUGCAGCACUUGCUCCUCCCCAGGUCCCCAGCUACAGACCCUCAAACUAAACAGGAGCACUGACUUCUGCCCACAUAUCCAGCUCCACGAACCUCAAAGUUAAACUUCAGUACCAACUCCUUCCCGCGUCUCCAGCUCCACGACCCUCAAACUACAAUAGCAACACUGGCUCCCCAAUCCCAGGUCUCCAUCUCCACGACCAUCAAACUUGAGUUGCAACACUGGCUCCACCCAAAUUCUCCAGCUCCAGGAUGCUAACUGUAAUAGCAGCACCAGCUCCUCUGCAGGUCACCAGCUCCAAGACUCUCAAACUAGUACAGCAGCACUGACGCCUGCCCAGGUUUCCAGCUCCAUGAACCUCAAACUUGAACUGCAGCACCACCUCCUCCCUGGUUCUCCAGCUUCACGACCCUCAAACUAGAACAGCAGCACCAGCUCCAACCAAAGUCUCCAUCUCCACGCCUCCAACUUGAACUCCAGCACCAGCUCCUUCCUGGGUCUCAUGAUCCAUGACCCUGAAAAUAAAACAGCAGCACCAGCUCCUCUCUAGGUCUCCAGCUCCACGAACCUCAAAUUUAAAAAGCAGCCCUGGCUCUAACCCAGGUCUCCAGCUCCACCAUCGUCAAACUUGAACGGCAGCACUAGCUCCUCCCAAAGUCUCCAGCCCCACGACCCUAAAACAUGAAGAGCAGCAUUGGCUCCUCCCCAGGUCUUCAGCUUCACAACCCUAACUCUUACAGCAACACCCGCUCCUCCCCAGGUUGCCAGCUCCAAGACCCUAAAACUAGAACAGCAGACCGGCUCCUACUCAGGACACCAGCUCCAAGACUGUUAAACUAGAACAGCAGCACUGAUUUCUCACCAGGUCUCCAGCUCCACGACCCUCACACUGGAACUACAGCAACAGCUCCGCCCAGGUCUCCAGCUCCAGGGACCUUAAACUAAAAUAGCAGCACCAGCUCCUCUGCAGGUCCCCAGCUACAGACCCUCAAACUAGAAUAGCAGCACCAUCUCCUCUCCAGUUCUCCAGCUCCACGACCUUGAAACUAGAAAAGAAACACUGACUCCCCCCCACCACCAAUCUCCAUCUCCAGGAACAUCAAACUUGAACUACAACAGCGGCUCAACCCAAAGUCUCCAGCUCCCCGACACUAACUACAACAGCAGCACCAGCUCCUCCCUGGCUCACCAGCUCCAAGAUCCUCAAACCAGAACAGCAGCACUGACUCCUGCCCAGGUCACCAGCUCCAAGACCCUCAAACCAGAACAGCAGCACUGACUCCUGCCCAGGUCACCAGCUCCAAGACUCUCAAACUAGAAUAGCCACACUGACUCCUGUCCAGGUCACCAGCUCCAAGACUUUCAAACUAGAAUAGCCACACUGACUCCUGUCCAGGUUUCCAGCUCCAUGAAACUCAAACUUGAAUUGCAACACUGGCUCCUCUCCAGGUCUCCAGCCACUCAUCCCUCAAACUGUUGCUCCUCCCUGUGUCUCCAGCUUCAUGACCCUCAAACUUGAACUGGGGCACCCGUUCCUCCCCGGGUCUCCAGCUCCACGACACGUGAACUGCAGCACUUGAUCCUUCCUGAGUCUCCAGCUCCAUGACCCUUAUACUUGAACAGCAGCACCAAUUCCUGCCCAGGUCUCCAGCCUCAUGACCUUCAAAUUUAAAAAGCAGAACUGGCUCCAACCCAGGUCUCCAGCUCCACCAUCAUCAAACUUGAAUGGCAGCACUAGCUCGCCACAAAGUCUCCAGCUCCCAUGACCCUCAAAUGUGAACAGCAGCACUGGCUCCUCCCCAGGUGUUCAGUUUCACGACCCUAACUAUUACAGCAACACCUGCUCCUCCCCAGGUCACCAACUCCAAGACCCUAAAACUAGAACAGCAGACCGGCUCCUACCCAGGUCACCAGCUCCAAGACUCUCAAACUAGAACAGCAGCACUGACUUCUUGCCAGGUCUCCAGCUCCAUGACCCUCAAGCUUGAACCGCAGCAACAGCUCCACCCAGGUCUCCAGCUCCACAAACCUUAAACAACAGCACCGGCUCCUCCAGAGGUCCCCAGCUACAGACCCUCAAACUAGAACAGGAGCACUGACUCCUGCCCAGAUAUCCAGCUCCACGAACCUCAAACUUGAACUGCAGUACCAGCUCCUUCCCGGGUCUUUAGCUCCGUGACCCUGAAAAUAAAACAGCAGCACUGGCUUUUCCCCAGAUCCCCAGCUCCACGACCCUCAAAUUUAAAAAGCAGCACCAGCUCCUCCCUGGGUCAGCACCUCCAUGACCCUCAAACCUGAACUGCAGCACUGGCUCCUCCCCGGGUCACCAGAUCCCAGACCCUCAAACUAGAACAGCAGCACUGACUCCUCCCCAUAUCUCCAGCUCCAUGACCAUCAAACUUGAAGACUAGCACCAUUUCCUUUCUGGGUCUCCAGCUCCACGACCCUCAGACUUGAACAGCAGUGCCAACUCCUUUCUGGGUCUCCAGCUCCACUAUCUUCAGACUUGAACAGCAGCACCAGCUUCUCCCCAGGUCUCCAGCUCCAUGACCCUCAAACAGGAACAGCAGCACCGGCUCCUCCCUGGGUCUCCAGCUCCUCAAGUCUGAGGAUCAUGGAGCUGGAGACCCAGAAAGGCAAUGGUGCUACUCUUCAAGUCUGAGGGUCAUGGAACUGGAGACCCGGGGAGGAGCUGGUGCUACCGCUGUUCAAGUUUGAGCAUCUUGGAGCUGGAGACCCAGGGAGCCGCCACUCGAACGGUAGCUCCUCCCCCAGUCUCUAGCUCCAUGACCCUCAAACUCGAAGAGUAGCACCAUUUCCUUUCUGGGUCUCCAGCUCCAUGACCCUCAGACUUGAACAGCAGCACCAGCUCCUUUCUGGGUCUCCAGCUCUCCUAUCUUCAGACUUGAAUGGCAACACCAGCUUCUCCCCACGUCUCCAGCUCCACGACCCUCAGACUUCGACAGCAAUCCGGCUCUUCCCCUGGUCUCCAGCUCCAUGACCCUCAAACUAGAACAGCAGCACCGGUUCCUUUCUGGGUCUCCAGCUCCACGAUAUUCAGACUUGAAUGGCAGCACCAACUUUUCCCUGGGUCUUCAGCUCCAUGACCUUCAGACUUGAACGGCAGCACUGGCUCCUCCCCUCUCCAGCUCCAUGACCUUCAGACUUGAACGGCAGCGCCGGCUCCUCCCUGGGUCUCGAACCUGCCCAGCCUGCAGAUUUUGGACUUGCUAGCCUUCAGGAUCACAUUAGCCAAUUCCUUAAACUCAACCUCUUUCUCUGUAUGUAGGAUAUGGACACCUCCUGCUGGCUCUUUUUCCGGAGAGCCCAGUGAACACACCGUGCAUCAGGCUCCAUCAUUCACCAGAGCGUCUUUCCAACAGACUUUGCUGUGAUAUUUCUUAAAUAAAGGUCACUCCAAAGACCCUCACCUCUGGAUUGUAACCAACUCAGUGGCAGACUUAAUCCAUUUCUAUCUGCUGACAUUUCUCACAUGGAAUAGGCUGUUUGACAGAUUGAAGCUGUCUCCCCCCACUCCCCAGGCCAGUGCACACUUAUCUCCCUUGAAUGUUCAUUUUGUGCUCAUUUUAGAGACUGAGGCACAAAGACAGGCAAAUACAAGGUGAAGUCAGUGACAAAUAAACAAUGCUAUUUAGGCAUUGAGAGUUUGUUUUUGUGUUUGUGUUUUUUUGCUAAUUAAUUCCACCUGGUAGAGGAGGGCGAGGGGAAAGAGGAAGGGAGAAGUUUCCUGGCAGGGCUGAGAGGCAGAAUGGUGCCUGCACCUCCUGGAGUGCACGGCAAUGGUCUGGCUCUGCUGCCUUCUAUGGGUAAGGGCCCACCGGUUUUUUUUCUGGGACUUAAGUCACCUGGGCUUAUACUGAGCAGCCCUCAGCAAGCUCUUCUCACUUGCCCCUGCCACCCAGAGCUCCAGGAUGCCCUAGUUCCUGCCCCUCAAAGACCUGGGACUCCUGCUCCUGGGACCUUCUGGUCGGUUCUGCUUUUCCUUGCUUCAGGACCUUACGUGGAUUCUGUCACCUGCCACCUCAGAACUCUGAGCGACACACCCACUGCAUGUCACCCAGGACAGGUUCACCCAAGUCUUUCAUCCCAAGAAGGUCCUUCCUGGCACCUUGUGGGCUGACAGCAUCUCCAGGGAACCACAGGACUUCGAGGGGGCCUGGGAAGCAUCAAGAGCUUCAGGAGGGGAGUCUGUCACAGGUGGGGAUUACGGAGCCCUGCAGGGACCCUUAGAACAGGUGGGUCGGGGUGGGGCUGAGGUCUCGACGCCUUGAUUCAGGUUCCUGGCUUAUGUCGACCUGUCUGAAAUCUCCCACCCACAGCCAAGCCACUGGCCACCCCACUGCUGCCCUGUGUCACCCUGUUUUGAUGGAGAGCUCACCAGGCUCUCCCAGCUGCUCUCCUCUUGGAGCAGGGAGUGUUGGAAGUGGGGGGCUGAUCUGCAUAUGAACGUGGCUCUUAACCAGGUGAGGGGCUUGAAGUCCUCUGGGGCUAAUGACUGUUCCAUGAAUAAUGGUCCCUCUUAAAAUGUAAUUAAACAUUUAUCAGAUGUAUUUCUACAGAAACAUCCAUCUUAAGGGGGGACCGGAUUUCCUACCAUUCAUAUCAGUCUCCUGAAAUGAGGCAGAGGCACUCCCGGCUCCCCCUCCCCUCCCCGGCCUCAGUUCCCUGGGCCGGAUGUCCUGCUGGGGCCUGUGGUGCAGUUUCGGCUGGUUCACCCCAUGCAGAGCUUGAUGGGGUUGGGUUGGUUUUAAUCAGAAUGGUAAAUUGCAAAUGAUACAGGGCCUGGGCUCUGUUGGGAUACUUGUGUUGACCAAGUCCCUUGUGAAUUAAAUCAUUUAAUACUGGAAAUGGAAAAGGCCCCCUCAUUUUCCUUCUGAAUGAGCUGUGAAAUAGGCUCUGAGAACGGCCUCCAGAGUGAAGU